UGUUGGUUUGGGAAAUGGGAACCAAAACCCUUUUAUUAGAAUUCUGUCGAAAGUAAACAGUAAGUGACUGUUACCCUGGUGAGAGCUGAGAAUUGCAAUGUGCUCCUCAUUUUGAGCAGAUAGGAGGAUGGGUGGAUGGAGCUGAGUGAUAUCCUACACAGAACAGCCUCUCCCUUCGCUUCUCACCAGGUCUCCGCAGUCAGUGACUCAUCCAUCACAUAUGAUGAUUGCCAAACUAGAUGGAAAUAAAAGGCUCUCGCGUCCCAUCAGAAAGCUCACGUCAGCUAAGGAGACAGGUUCUUGGGUGGGAUCGUGAACCAUGAAUACUGACUUGCGUAACCUUGCCAGGAACCCAAGUUCACCUGUCGGAGGAAGAGGCUUCACCUCAGCUUUGCAACUGCCGUAUUCCUCUUGGUCUUCAAAAGAGGACUCAACACUCACCAUAUCCAACGCUGGUACUACAGGCAAUCAGUACAAGCCUUGCAUCAUGGAAGGACAUCAGACAGAAGUGUGAGUGCACAGCAGAGGAACAUUCAUGGGGAAAAAAACUGUUCUGUAGACAGCUGUAUUUGAAGCACAACCUUCUGAGUGUGAAGCCACCCUGAACUGUGAGCCUUUCGGAAUGUGCAACAUCGUGGGCUGUUGACUCAUCGUGUAAAUAACAGCAUGCCAAAGCAGUCGACCGGCUGUCCAGGGGAUGCAAGAGGGCAUUUAAGGACAACUAACUCCGAACAACUGUGGGACAACUGGAUUGAGGAUGGGUGAAUUUCUGGACAGGCAGUUUCAGAGGACAGCUGUGUCAGAAAACAGGGUCUUAAAUUUCCUUCAGGUUUUGAAAAUUUCACAGCUGAUAAAAUAUACAGUACAUGAAGAGCUCAUCAGGAAAAGGGUGAGAUGGCAUCGCUGUUAUGGUCUGGCUUGUGAAUGUAACAAGUUAAUGAAUAUCCAGGCAUACGGGGCAUGGUGUAUAUUCUGCCAGGCCGUUCGAUUCUGAGAGCAUCUUUCUCAGAGAGUGUGAAAAACAUGAGAUUCAACCACAAGCCGCAUUUGCCCUUGAGGAAAGGUGCAUCCUUUUCGGAAUGUGGUCCCAAAUGACCCCUUACAGGUUACUUAGCGUGACACUCCUGAAUCUAUUGCCACAGAUACAUCCAUAAUGCAUUUUGUCUUUCCCCUAAAGGCUCUGGGAAAGGUUUUCUUAAAACAUGACGCUACUCGCGGACCUCCGUCUGACAGCGCCGGUGUCAAAGCAUCAGUGCGACCCGCAGCAGCAAACUUUCCUGUGUGUCACCAAACGCCCAGUAAAGUUCCGUCAAG